rnacentral:lncRNA from 1 species
GGAAAUUCAAUUUUAUUAAUAAUAAGUUGGGGUCUUACAACAAAAUCUUCAUCAUUAAUUCAAAUUGUAUUCUUCCAAAUUCAAUACAUUUAUGACACACAAUAACUGUAACGCCCCCAAAUCCGGCUUCCUAGAACUUUGGACCUGGUGCGUCACGAUCUUACAUAUUCUUUAACUACGCGGAAUAUAUAAACAUACAUUGUUUAUUUCAAAGGAUUCUACAACAUUACCCAAGGUCUACAAUGACUUUAAUACAUACCUUCAGUAACUUAAAAGGUUUACAAUAUCAUUUACAUCAGAUAACUUAAUAGUUUUAAAUGCAUAAUAAUCUACUUUUGGAAUUUGCCUUUGCCUCUGUCUUUCUUCGAGCCUUCGUUUUAAUCUGCAAUUUGUUAUCAUAAUAUAGCAAGGGUGAGCAACUACUUUGCUCAUCAAGUUUAAAUAUAAUGACGAUAUAUCAUGAUUGAAAGAAAGAAUAAGCUUUCGAAUUUUCAACAAUAUAAUAAUUAUGAAAGAGUAUGAAUCAUAAUUUCAAUAAUUGAACGACUGAAUCAAUAAUAUUUUGUGGUCAACAAUGACCAUGAACAAAUUUAAAUGAACCUUACGGUAAUGAAGGUAAUCAACCUUUUAUACCUGAUGAACAUAUGCAACAUGCACUAAGUGAGAAUCAAUAAUCAUAGAUGUGAAAUAAUUAAUAAUAAUUAUCCACUAACAUGCUUGAAAGAUAAUAACUCGAGUUUGAGUUAGUGAAUUUGUCUUGUCUGCGGACUACUGCUACAAAACUCUAUUUAUCCGCUUAAUGAAUUUAACUUAUCCUCUUUGGAAAGACCUAUCAUGGAUCCUUCAAUUAGUAUAACAUAUAAUUAUUCAUAAAAUUAUUAUUCUCAUAAAUUAUCUAACAUUAAUCACAUAAUUAAAUAUUUGAUAUCACAUUAACUCCUUAAUAAUAUUAUCGUCCCUUGAUAAUAUUAUUAUAAGUAAUCAUCUUAACUCUUAAAUAAUAUUAUAAUAUUAUUAAUCAUCUAAUAAUAUUUUAGUCUCUCUCUAAUAUUAUUAAUCUUUUAAUAAUUUUUUAAGAUCUAAUAUUAUUAAUCCUUUAAUAAUAUUUUAACUAUCUAAUAUUAUUAAUUAUUUAAUAAUAUUUUAAUUAUCUAAUAUUAUUAACCUUAUUAGUCUUUAAUUACUAUUUAAAACUAAUUAAAUAAUAAUUAAUUAAUCUUUGUCCUUAUUUAUUAUUAAUUAAAUAAUAAAUAAUUAGUCUAUUAACUUUAUUAGUCUUUAAUUAUUAUUUAACCCUAAUUAAAUAAUAAUUAAUUAAUAUUUAUCCUUAUUUAUUAUUAAUAUUAAUUAAAUAAUAAAUAAUUAAUUUAAUUUACUAACUUUAUGUUACUAAAAUAACAUGUAAGUAAGUAAUUAUCAUUAUUUAUUACUUAUUCUUACUUAAAUAAUAAAUAAUUAGUUUAUCUACUUAAACAUUCUUUAAUCAUUAUUCAAUAUUAAUUAAAUAAUAAUUAAUAAAUUAUUUAACUCUAUUUAUUAUUUAAUCUUAAUUAAAUAACAAAUAAUUAGCCUAAUAACAUUAUUUCUAUUUAUUUAUUAAUUAGUGUUAAUUAAAUAAUAAUUAAAUAGUUAAGUACACUUAAACAAUAUGUAAUUAGUUUAAUAACCAAUUAGUGGCCUUAAAAAUUUAUUAGUUUGUAAUUUUAAAUGAUUUAAAAGGGUUUAAACCAUUAAAUACACUAAUAAUUACUAAAUUACACUGAAAAAACCCAAUUAAAUAUCAAAAUAUUCUUUAUUAAUUUAGAAAAAAUUUGGUCCUAGACCUGACCCAAGAACCGGUCAAAAAAGUGGUGAACCGGUCGACGCAAGGUGCUGGCCGAUUCACUGGACAGAAAACCGGCAGGAAGUUCCUUAAAUUUUCUAAUUUUUUCCAGAUUUGGGGUCCUUCACUAAAACUUGAAUAAAAUGUAAUAUAAAAUUUCGAUAAAUCUAAGUUGGUCUCGUUGGAUUCGUAUCUUUCCGAACUAAAAGAUUUCAUCUUCAAAAUGCAAAUUUGGACAUGUUUUAGUAACUAAAAAUGGGCCAGAUGUGGACUGUUCUUGCAAGGUUCCAACAGUUGGAGUGUUUUGGUACAAAAUUCAUAUCUUGCUCAUUUCAACACAUCUUUGCAUGCUUCACAAGAGAUUUUGUUCUUAAUUUACAUAUCUAGAAUACUAAGAAAGAAAAUCACAAAAUUUAUUUGUAAGUUUCAAAACGGAACACUUCAAUCACACUUUCCGAUUAAAUUUUUCGGUAAAACUCUUUUUCAUGUAUUUUACCAUACUUUUCAAUAUAAACACAUACCAAUACACAUGUUAAACCCAUUUAACUUUAUAUAUAUCAUUCUAGGAUACUUCUAGCCCUUUAAAGUUUGAAGUCCAUGUAUUUAACAUAAAAAUACACAAAGCAUACAAGAUUAAGAUUUUCUUAAACUUUUGACAUAAUUUUUCUUUUCUUUCCUUUUUGAUCAAUUUUUAAACACUCAAAUAGGUAAGAUUAAUACACAAAAACAUAGAAAGCAUUUAGAUCAAGAGUUUUUUAGACUUCAAGAACAUAAUCCUUAUAUUUUGAAAAACAACCAAAAUAUUUAAACAAGGCUUAGAUUUAAAGUUUACCUUGAUUUAUGGGCUACUCUUCUAGUCUUUCCAAAAUAUGAAAGGAAUUUAGUAUGCAUAAAAGAACCAAAUCUCUUCUUUCUUCCUUCCUAUAGAUGGUCCAAACUUCUUUCCUUUCUCCAGCUUUAAUUUGUUUUGUUAGCUAUUUUUUUGGAAGUAAGAAGAAAUUUUGUUGACUAAAGUGGUAUAGGUGUUUCUAGUAUUGAAAAAAAAAUAUACAUUUAAUUAGUAUAUCUAACUCAAAUCUUCCAACAUCUGAUGCUAUUUCUCU